GUUAUCAUCAUUCCAACUUGUUAAAUUUUU
rnacentral:sRNA from 1 species